rnacentral:rRNA from 1 species
UACAGAGGGGGCAAGCGUUAUUCGGAAUUAUUGGGCGUAAAGGGCGCGUAGGCGGCUUGGCAAGUGGAAGGUGAAAUCCCUCGGCUUAACCGAGGAACUGCCCUCCAAACUGCUUCGCUUGAGACCGGGAGAGGUGAGUGGAAUUCCCAGUGUAGCGGUGAAAUGCGUAGAUAUUGGGAGGAACACCAGUGGCGAAGGCGGCUCACUGGACCGGUACUGACGCUGAGGCGCG